rnacentral:lncRNA from 1 species
UCUUCAAUGUUUCCUCCACUGACGGAGGAACCUGUGGUGCUGCUGGGGUAGAAGACUGAGCUGCAACAAUACUGGUUAGGUCAGACAGCUUUGCAGUAGCUGUCUGCAUCCAGUUGUUGAGACUCGCCAAUGUCUGGGAGACUCGUAGCGCAGUGAGUGGAUAUGUGGAGGAGGAAGGCACUGAUACUGAUGCUGAUGGUCUAGAAUAUGGAGGUGGUGGCAUGUGAGCUGUCUCGGUGGAAGGACCGACUGUUGUGGAAGGCAUGGAAGUUGUAGAAGGUGUCACACCUCCUUUGUCCCGAGGGGGAUAGGGGAGUUUUUCCAAUUAAAGUGACAUUAUCCGAAAUGAGAUUAUUUAUUUAUUCAGAGUCGCCACUUGGAAUAAUUUAUUAUGGUGUCCCAAGUCACCGGUUUAUUUUAAAAUCCCAAAUCGAGGAAAUUGACUCUAUUCAUGGUCUGCGAACACAGAAGACCGGGUAAGGAAUUCUGUUAACCCGGGAGAAGGUGUGAGGCUCUCUCGAGUUCCGUGGUUUUAGCACAGUUGCUCAACUAUUAAUAAUUGGCCUACUAUCUGAUUUAAUACAUAUUUUAUACCUAUUGUGCAUUUUACUCUUUACCGCUUUUAAUUAUUUAUGGAGUUUGUUUGAACAAGUCGCGAUGUCGCACACUCGUUUAUUUUUGUACACAUUGCGAAUCGCGCCAUAUGAAAUGCACCCGCAAUUUAUAACAUGUUAAUUUUUAUUAUUAUUUGAAAUUUUGGUCGAAUCACGUGAAAUGCACACUCGGAUUGGGAUUUAUGUAUCAUGACUAUGCCACGGGAACCGUACCCAUAGUUACGAUUAUUUAAAGUUAAUCGCGUCUAAAACAAGCUACGAAUGUUUAUAAGUUAUUUUCCUAAAGCUAAUUUAAGAUUGUUGUAAGGCCAUAAAUUAUAAAAUUAUUUGUGGAAGAAUUAUAAGAUUCACGUUUACAUUAAAUUAGUGAAAUUGUCAAGCUAUCCCAGUUAUGGAUUUCAACAAAUUAAAAUGGAAGUCGAAAAUAAGGGACAGGUCCAUUACGACCUUAAAGUUGCCAGGCAGUAUGCCGCAGGGCCCAUGUAAUUUACACGAGAAUAGCCAUUGAGUUAUCCUUUGCGAACCAGAACUUUCACAUAACAAUCCAAACCAGUAGAAGAAUUUUAGGAUUUAAACAAUUAAUUUUAAGCUAUGGAAUUACUCUUUACAAUUAUUUUUUUUUUCACUACUUAAAUUCACAUUAUGUUUUUAGCAUCAUAUCAGCUCAUCCUAGAUAUAUUCAGUUCAUAAGAAAUCAUUGCAAUCAGAAUCUAAGUAAACAACAUAAACGCAAUACGAGCAAACUAAAUUUCAUUUGUAAAUUCAAACAAGUGAAAAUAGAGGAAUGUUUACAUACCUAAGAGCAGAAAAAAAAAGCACUUAAUAACCAAAUAAGGUCUGAAAUAAUGAAUGAACUCGGCAAAACAGAGGCAGCAGAAACGACUUCAAUCCCAGAUGAAAACCAGCUUUUAAAAAACCGAAAAAAUGACUAAGAAGAAUUCUUUGAAUCACUAGGAACAAUAGUCGUUUUUUUAAGUUGCUUUGAGUGUCAAACUCAACCUCAAGGUCUACUGUUUUCCUCCUCGUUUCAAAUCUUUUGUUUUAGAUCUCUGAAUCCAAACUUUGAAAUUCAACUAUGGUGAGAAAUUCGAGAGUGAGAGUGUGGGAGUGAAUACUAGUUUAUGUUCUAGGCGGGAGUGAAUGGAGAGAAGUAGGAGGAACAAGGCUCUAGGGUUUUUUCUCCAAAGAGGGUGAGAGAUCCGUUUUUUUUUUUGUUAGAGAAAAAGAGGUGAAAUUAGGGUUUGCCCUAAUAGAGUGGGGGAGAUGGUUAUUUUAAGAGAAGAGUAUGGGCCAGGCUAUGGGGUGGAUUGGGCUUCUAAAGGGAUGGGCUUGAAACAAUUGCAAAAUUAGUCACUUUGGACUCAAAUUUUAAUUAAAACCAAUUUGUGUG